rnacentral:RNase_P_RNA from 1 species
GAAACCGGUCAUCCUGUCGCAUCGAAGCAUUUCGGUGAGGAAAGUCGGGACACGAUAGAGCACCAUACUUCCUAACGGGAAGGUUCCGGGCAACCGGAAACAGCGAGUGCCACAGAAAAUUACCGCCCCUCUUAAGGGGUAAGGGUGAAAACGUGAGGUAAGAGCUCACGCGGAGGGGUGGUGACACGCCUCCGGGGUAAACCUUAUGGCGUGAAAGGCCAUGUAUACCGGGAAUCCGCUACGUGCGGAUAAGGGCUGCUCGUCUGAGCCCGGGGGGUAGGCCGUUAGAGGCUGCGGGUGACCGUAGUUCGAGAUAAAUGACAGGACACGACAGAAUCCCGCUUAUCGGCCGGUUUCCUUU